AUGGACGCCAUGGCAGCGGUCGCCAGAACGGGGCCUUCCCUCGCCGCCGCCGGCCACAGGAGCUCCGCAACGUUCCGGCCGUCGGCGUCACUCUCCUUCGCCUCCGCUUCCUCGAGGAACCGCGGCCGCGUCGGGCUGAGCACGGCGGGGUGGAACCAGAGGGCAACCAGGGUAGCUCGCGCCACCCCCAACCGCAUCGUCGCCUCCUCGGAGGUUGAGCAGACCUACAUUAUGAUCAAACCUGACGGUGUUCAGCGUGGUCUGGUUGGAGAGAUUAUUUCUCGCUUCGAGAAGAAGGGCUUUUUGCUGAAGGGGCUGAAGCUUUUUCAGUGCCCCAAAGACUUGGCUCAGGAACAUUACAAGGAUCUGAAGGAGAGACCUUUCUUUCCCAAUUUAAUCGACUACAUAACUUCUGGUCCUGUAGUCUGCAUGGCCUGGGAGGGUGAUGGUGUUGUUGCGUCAGCUCGCAAACUGAUCGGAGCUACUAACCCCCUUCAAGCUGAGCCAGGGACCAUAAGGGGUGAUCUUGCAGUUCAAACAGGAAGGAAUGUCGUCCACGGAAGUGACAGCCCUGAUAACGGCAAGCGAGAAAUCGGAUUAUGGUUCAAAGAGGGUGAGCUUGCUCAAUGGGAAUCAGUUCAAACACCCUGGCUUAUAGAGUGA
rnacentral:rRNA from 1 species